AGACCAGCUCUGCCUCAGGCCUUUCGCACAUGGCGGCAGGUCAUUUGGUGCCAGCUCCUGUGUCCACACCUGCGGGAUGGGACGGCCUGACACCUGCCCCUCACAGCUGUUUUGCUCUUUUCCCAAAACCCAUGGUGGGGUCUUCCCCAGGCCUUUGGAGGAGGCCCAGGGGCCUCAUGCUGAGGCUGUGCAGGGAGGCACACCCUCCCCACCCUCGUGCCCACACACGCUUCUGGGGUGGCCGCAUGGCAGGUGGCACAGGGAGUGGGUGGUGCGGGCAGCUCUAGUAGGUUCUUGGGACCCUGCCCCCCUGCCUGACUGGCUUUGUGACGAGCACCCAGUGGGACACCGAGAACAAGGGGCCACCAGCUCGUUUCACUCUGGCAGGCACAGACUGGCCCCCAGGCCCCAGCUUCUCUUGCUGGGGUGCCCGGACCACACGCUUCUGAAGUGAGCAGAGCUCACUGGGCUGAGCCAGGCUGGGCUUUGUGUUUCUUGGGGCUGGGCUAGGGGGCAGGUGGGGACGCCAGGCCCCAGCUGCAGUGCCAGGGCCUGGGUUGUGGUCAGUCACAUGGCACUGGUCCUGGCUGCCCAGGAUGGGCACAGAGGACUAGCUUCGCGUGUCCACGGUGCUUGGUGAAGGCUGGCAGCAGGUGUGCCUGAGGGCCUGGGGUGGGGCAGGGGCUGGCUUUGGCUCUUCUGGUGAAUGUCCUGGGGCAGGGCCACCUCGCCCCUGCUCCCCAGGGCUACCUGACUCCUCCCAGACCUCCGACCUUCACUCCAGGCCUCAGUGGUAGCUCUGCUCGCCCCCCAACCCGCUUCCUAACCCUGCAGGCCCCAGAGGCUUCCUGACCUCCUGGCUCUUGGCAUCCACGGUCACUCCCACCUGAAUCCCCCACGCCAGGCCAGAGCUACCACCACCCAAGCCUCAGUUUCCUUCUCUAUAAACUGGGGAUAACUAGUGCCUCCCCCCACGGCAGCUGUGAGGAAGGCGUGAAGAGGGAAUUUGUGCUCCGCUUGAAUCUAAACAUGGGGGUGCAGCUCCCCAGCCCCAGAACCACGGCACCGUCACCCUCCCGGGCACGUAGGCCGAGCCCAGGAAAUGCCUGCCGCGGGAGUCCUGUGAGCCCUCGCCCCCCAAGCCCGCUGUGGCCGUGCCUGCCCUGGAGCCGCAGUGGGAGCCGCAGGAAGCUUUGGCGGGUGAGGGGAGCGGGCGACGCAGGCAUCCCACUCAUGAAGGCCGCUAGCUGCAGGUCCGAGCACCACAGUCCCGGCAGAGCGAGGGUCUUCCAUGAGCGCCAUCGUGGGGAAAAGCACGGAGCCGGGAGAGGCCGACCCUUUACUUCCGUGGCUGCCCCAGGCCUGGCCCUGCCUCCGGGUGCAAGGCCAUUGUGGCAAACAGGUCCCUCCCGAGCUAACAAACACCCGUCCCGGCUCAGGAGGCCCUUCAAGCUCCUGGGUUACCCUGUAGGGAGGUGUGGCAGCGGGGGCAGGCUCUGAGCUCCCCUGAGGCUGCCAGGACCCCUGGGAGCACCCUGGCCCAGACUCUGCUCUGAGCAGUGAGGGGGCACAGCAUGUUCUUGGAGGAAACGGGGUGCUGGGCGGCUCCUCAACACCCAGAACAGAACGGGGUGUGGAAUGGCUCUGCCCGAGCCGAGCAGGAAGAAUCCCCUCGUGGAGCCCCAGCUGGGGGACGAAGGUCACCAUCCACCUGGCCUGGGCAGCCAUAAAGCCUGCCUACUCCUCGUGGCUUGGAGUCCCCACCCCUGCAUCCAGCCCAGGCUUCAUCGAGCUCCUCCCGGGGCCCUGGCUCGGGACCCUCUGGGUGCUUCCUGAGAGCAGACGAGCUUAGGGUCCUCAGACUGCUCGUGGGGCCGGCCACAGGGAAGGGCUGGCUGUAGGCCAGGGUGGCCCACCGGUCCCAUCAGAGCUCAUCGUAAACAGCAAAGCAGGAGAAGCAGCACCAGGGUGAGCCCGAGAGCUGGGCAGUCGCCACUCUGCCUGGCGGCCAACAGCACCUUGACCAGCACAAGCCCCGGACCUCAGCCUCAGGCCCGUCCUCAACGCCCAGCCAGGGGACAGUCUGUCGGCAUGCGAGGCCUUGCCCAACAGGGCCGCCUGGGCUGACACCUGGGACGUGCUCUCACAGCUCCUGUCCACCUGCCUGGCGGGGACGGCGCGGCAAGGCUGCCGGCGGUGAAGGGUUGGCGAGCCCCAUUGUGCAGAGGUCGGCACCCGCCAGGGCAGAAUUACCUUGCAAAUAUCCCAGGUUUACCCGA